UACGAAGGGGGCUAGCGUUGUUCGGAUUUACUGGGCGUAAAGCGCACGUAGGCGGAUCGUUAAGUGAGGGGUGAAAUCCCAGGGCUCAACCCUGGAACUGCCUCUCAUACUGGCGAUCUCGAGUUCGAGAGAGGUGAGUGGAAUUCCGAGUGUAGAGGUGAAAUUCGUAGAUAUUCGGAGGAACACCAGUGGCGAAGGCGGCUCACUGGCUCGAUACUGACGCUGAGGUGCGAAAGCGUGGGGAGCAAACAGG
rnacentral:rRNA from 1 species